CCAAGACAUCUUUGGCGAGCCGGGCCAUGCUUAGGAUGUGGUUCCCCGUACGAUCGAUGUAGUCCCUGAACGGGACAAACUGAAAGGCCCUGAGAUGGAUCACUGGUUUCAGAAACAUGGCUUCCGUUCACUGUUCAUUUUGUUUGCAUUCUGGGCGACUCUGGACUUGACAGUGAUGGAGAGGAUGGUGCGAAGGUGAACCACAUGCUGGCAAAAGCAGCACAGCAAACACACAUUAUAACAGAAGGAACCGCUGCCAGUCAUGGACGUCGUAUCAAAUGCGAAAUUCUAUUUUUUAUUAAAUUCCCUCAACUGUGCACAGUUCA